UACGAAGGGGGCUAGCGUUGUUCGGAAUUACUGGGCGUAAAGCGCACGUAGGCGGAAUGUUAAGUUAGGGGUGAAAUCCCGGGGCUCAACCCCGGAACUGCCUUUGAUACUGGCAUUCUCGAGUCCGGAAGAGGUGAGUGGAAUUCCGAGUGUAGAGGUGAAAUUCGUAGAUAUUCGGAGGAACACCAGUGGCGAAGGCGGCUCACUGGUCCGGAACUGACGCUGAGGUGCGAAAGCGUGGGGAGCAAACAGG
rnacentral:rRNA from 1 species